UCGAGCGAGAACCAGUCCUUCGGGGCUGGGGACAGCGGCGAACGGGUGAGUAACACGUGGGUAAUCUGCCCUCGGCACCGGAAUAGCCCGGGGAAACCCGGAUUAAUGCCGGAUGGCCUCUCGAGCCUUCGGGCUUGCGAGAAAAGGUAGCUUCGGCCUCCGGCCGAGGAUGAGCCCGCGGCCGAUUAGCUUGUUGGUGGGGUAAUGGCUCACCAAGGCGGCGAUCGGUAGCUGGUCUGAGAGGACGAUCAGCCACACUGGGACUGAGACACGGCCCAGACUCCUACGGGAGGCAGCAGUGGGGAAUCUUGCGCAAUGGGCGAAAGCCUGACGCAGCGACGCCGUGUGCGGGAAGAAGGCCUUCGGGUUGUAAACCGCUUUCAGGAGGGACGAAGCCACUCAGGUUAAUAGCCGAGAGGGUGACGGUACCUCCAGAAGAAGCCCCGGCUAACUACGUGCCAGCAGCCGCGGUAAUACGUAGGGGACUAGCGUUG
rnacentral:rRNA from 1 species